ACCCCUGACCUCAGAUGAUCCACCCGCCUCAGCCUCCCAAAGUGCUAGGUUUACAGGCAUGAACCACUGAGUCCAGCCCUUUUAUUGGAAUAUGUUUUAAAGCAAAUUCUAAACACCAUAUCAUUUCCUAUCCCCUAAUACCUCAGUUUACGCAUCAAAAGAAGAAAAAAAAACCCUGACAUUUUGUAACACCUAACAAAACCAGCAAUUCCAAUAACCAAUCUAUAGUGGCUCUGAAAGGUGGGCCUUUAUCCCAAGGUCACACUGUUAAUAAGUGGCAAGUUGCAAACCCAGGCAGCCUGGCUUCAAAGCCCAGUACCAAGGCACGGGAGAGGAUGCUGGACAGAUGAAACAAAGAUGUCUGCAACCCUGCCUUCUCUUUCGAGGCUCUGCAGGAAGUCUAGAUUCAGAAGGGAACCAUCAGGACCCCAUGGAGUGGGCUGCGGCUUGGAGACACAGAUAGUGGUGCAGACCACCACAGCCAGGCGCAACAAGAAAGACUUCAAUGCUAGCAUCAUAAUCUACAGAGGACAAACGCAAGAGAGAAAGCCUACACCUGCCCAGAGGACAUGGCCCUGGGUUUCCACUCAGAGCUGAUGUUCAACUGGCACACAGUAUUUCAGCUGUGCUACUUGGUAAAUAUUGCAACAUCUCAAAGGUUGGUGAAUGGCCUCUGUACAGAAUCUGCUGCUGCCCUGACCCCUACCUUGGCCUCAUGAUCCAGCCAUUAGAGGGUUACUGCCUGGCUUAGCGGGGCUCCUCUAGCCAGCUUCUGAUUGGCUAGUGUCUGUGCUGUUAAAUAUUUGUCUGCUGUUAAAUAUUUGAAUGUCAUCUCUGGUAGUGAUACUUAUUUCAUAGUAUUUGCAGGAAGAGAAAAUUUAAAAGUGCAUAUAAAGCACCUGCCUAAUCAAUGCAAGACAUAAUAUGGAGUCUUUUUACCUGAGUUUUUCCCCCUUUGUUGAUCUGUAACUUUCUUCAAAAUGAGACUUUAGUUGGCACAUUUUUCCAUCUUUUUCAGUCUCUCCCCUAAUUUCAUCCUUUCUUGGCUUUUCUUUAUAAAGCAUGCACCUGCUACUUCAUUUCUAAGUAAAUAUUAAUCCCCCUUUGACUUUGCAUCUCUGGAAAAUUUUUAGUUCCCUGUUUUCAGUGGCAUUGUGAGAGGUCCCAUUUUUUUCUUCCCACUCUCCCCUAUUUAUAGGCUCCACAUUUUUGGCAGGUUUGCUAUAGAACACUCAAAAAUUGCAAGGGGAAAUAUUAUGCUCAGGAAAUCAUAGGAGCAUUUUCUCUAGUAAUCAUCACCAAGUUCUUAUGCUGAUCCUCUCCUGAACUGUUGGACUAAAGCAGCUGAAUUUUCCAAAAGCAACCAGAGUCGCCCUUGUUCACUACUGAAGGAUAGGAGGGUUUCCAUUUUUAAACAGAUCAUGUGCUUGACCUGAAGGCUGAGGAUACAGUCAGACGGUCCUGCAUUCCUAGAGGAGGGCAGACAUGGCGGUAGGGGUGGAGCAGCAGGGGACAGGGGAGACAGUCACCACCUUCAGGACCUGCACUCUGACUUGGAAAGCUCAAUGAACCAACUGGGCUAUUUCAACAUCUUCUAUAUUUUGUUUAUAACUCUGCCUCAUUCCAGGGUGGAUUUGAGGUGGUUUGGUUUGAUUCGUGAACAUUUCCCAUGCCAAUUAGAAGACAUUAUGUUAGGGGGGGUCCCCAAUUCAGCCUCAUCUCCCUCAUCAACUAGGAAAUGUUAUAGUAAUACCCAAAUAUACUUUCAUCUAUGUUUUGUAAUAGACCCCACUCAUAGAAAUGGUAGGGAUAAUAUCUUUUCCUUUUUAGCAUUACAGGAGAAAUUGUGACUUUGAAAUGAACCAAGAAGGUUACAGUUGUCUUCAAAGGAAAAAGAGUCAGUCUAGCAUGCCAUUCCAGAUGUGACUCUAUGGUGUAUCCUGUGCCUUUCUUGACUUUAAGCUAUUUUACAACUCUGUAAGUUGUGCAUAACUGAUAGCAAUGCAAAUAAUAGUAACAUUUGUCUAUAAACAUGCAAAUAAAUUUUAUCCUGUGAAAGUAAA